rnacentral:rRNA from 1 species
GGUUUCUUGUAAUUGUUUAAGAAAUUUGACCUGUCCACUGAGGAAUAUUUUAAAGGGCCGCAGUAUUUUCACUGUGCAAAGGUAGCAUAAUCAUUAGUCUUUUAAUUGAAGGCUGGUAUGAAUGGUUGGAUGAGGUAAAUUCUGUUUUAUGUUAAUUGAUGUUGAAUUUAGAUUUUAAGUAAAAAUACUUCAAUAUUAUUAAGGGACGAGAAGACCCUCUAGAGUUUAAUAUAUGUAGUAAUUAAUUGAGUUAAGGUUUAAUUUUUGGUUUUCACGCAAUUUAUUUAAUUGGGGUGAUUGGAAGAUAAGAUAAACUCUUCUUCAUAUUUAAUAAAUUAGUUAUAUGAUCCAUGUUUGAUGAUUAAAAGAUUAAAUUACCUUAGGGAUAACAGGAUAAUUCUUUUUAAGAGUUCAAUUCGAAAAAAGAGAUUGAGACCUCGAUGUUGGAUUAAGAUUAGUUAUGGGUGCAGAUGUUCAAUAACUAGGUCUGUUCGACCUUGGAAAUCUU